CUUCAAAGAAAGCCCCCCCAGCCCCCGCUGCUGCUGGAGAAAAGAGAAGGGUGGGUGGGUGGGAGAAGCGAACAAAAACUCAAGUAGCUAGAGAGAGAAAGCAAAGGCAGCAGGCUCAGCUAGCUCCGUGUGAGUGAGUGAGUGAGGUAUAGAGAGAGAGAGAGAGUGAGGAAGGGAAGCCAUUGUUGCAGUUGCACAGGAAAGAAAGAAGGAAGGAAGGAACGAGCGGGAGUGGAAAAGUUGGUGAGUGAAACUUACCCACUGCUGCAGCUAGCUGCUCCCACUUCCUCGCUGCGUCGUCCUCCCUCACGCACCUCGCCUCGUCUCCCGCCUCCUGGCUCCGGCACGCGUACCAUCUCCUCUCGGUCUAAAGCGGUGGAGGAGGAGGAGGAGGAUGAUGGAGGAGAGAGCGGGCGAGCCGUCGGAGGUGGAGGAGCAGGGCUGCGCAGCGAGGCCAGCCAAAAGUAGAUUCGGCGCCGUGGGCCCGCCGUCCUCCAGCUGAGGAGGAAAGGCAGCUAUCGGCGAGGAAGGGUGGUGGACUGGUGGUGCUAGCGGUGGUGGUGGUGGUGGUGGUGGAGGAUCCCCUCUCACGUCAAGCGCUGUGUGGAAAGCAUAAAGGCGGGAGGAGGAGGAGAGGGCGAAGGCGCAGAGCUUCCCCGCCGCACAAAGCGAAAAGGCUUCAGAAAGAAGAAAGCUUCCGCCUUGGGAGGGAGAGCGAGGCAUCCUGCGUGUGAGCGUGCGAUAAAUAGCGGCUCCAGGUCCAGGCUGAGGGAGAGCGCGUCUCUGGUGCUCUCGCAACCACCGUGCGCUUGCUUUCCUCCUGCUCUACUCCGUUGCACACUUGUACUAGGCCUGGAGGUCCUGUAGCUCGCCUGGUGCUGUGUCGGAGACGGUGGCAAUGGCAUUGCAGGAGCAGGAGGCGGACGGCGACGAGGGCGGGGAGGAAGACGACGAAGGCGAGGAUGAGCGGAUGACGGGAUACGGUGUGGGGGAGCUGAUAUCUGCUUGUCCCGAGGCGUGCUGUCCGCUUGCGGCGGUGUAGGAGUAAGAUAUUGGCGCAAUAGGCUCAAUCAUUUUUUUUUUUGCUUCUCUCUUUCUCUUUUUCCCUUUUCUUCCUUGUUUGAUGUGGCGUGCUUGUUUUUUUUUUUGUUGCCUUUUUUUGUUUCUGAUUGAUGAGACCAAUGUUGAUUAUAUGAUGAAGAGUUGAUUGGUAAGAA